CGCUAUUGAAUCGCUCUCUGUUGUUCUCUUUUCUUUAUAUUUCUAUUAGAUGAGAUCUGAUUGCUAUGUCUAAUUGAACCCUAAAGUAAAUUCUCAUUUUAGGGAGAAAGAGGGACAGACAGACACGGAAAUAGAUCGCUGGUCGUAGGCGAGACUGAGAGUUUUAACAGAGUCUCGCUCUCUGGAUUACACUCCAAUUUUACUGGUUUCGGGCCUGCUUUUAUUAUUGAAGGAUUGGGAAUUGGUUUAAUUGGGAUUGAGUUCGAUGGGGAAGGGAGGUGAGGACUAUGGUAAAAGAGAAAAAAUUGGUGUGGAAUCGCAGGAUAAAUGCGAUUUCCAUGCGUGGUCCAAAGAUAGUAAGGAAUGCGAAGAGUACUACAAAGUGAACCAUGAGUUUGGAUUAUCGGCUGCAGAAGUUGAGAAGAGGCGGCAGAUCCAUGGAUAUAAUGAAUUGGAGAAACAUGAGGGUGCAUCCAUUUUUAAACUGGUAUUAGAGCAAUUCAAUGACACACUAGUUAGGAUUUUACUAUUUGCUGCCAUAAUAUCUUUUGUGUUGGCUUUGUAUGAUGGUGAGGAAGGGGGGGAAAUGGAGAUCACAGCUUUUGUGGAACCACUGGUUAUUUUCUUGAUCUUGAUUGUGAAUGCAAUUGUGGGGAUUUGGCAAGAGAGCAAUGCUGAAAAAGCAUUGGAAGCCUUGAAAGAAAUCCAGUCCGAGCAUGCCACAGUGAUAAGAGAUGGCAAGAAGAUUUCGAAUUUGCCAGCAAAAGAACUUGUUCCAGGAGAUAUUGUGGAGUUGAGAGUGGGUGAUAAGGUUCCUGCAGAUAUGCGACUUUUGAGUUUGAUUAGCUCCACAGUUCGUGUUGAGCAAGGUUCUUUGACGGGAGAGAGUGAAGCAGUGAGCAAGACUGUCAAGGCUGUUGCAGGAGACACAGAUAUACAAGGUAAGAAAUGCAUGGUUUUUGGGGGAACAAC
rnacentral:misc_RNA from 1 species